rnacentral:rRNA from 1 species
GCCUACACAUGCAAGUCGAGCGGUUGACGGGAGCUUGCUCCCUGAUUCAGCGGCGGACGGGUGAGUAAUGCCUAGGAAUCUGCCUAUUAGUGGGGGACAACGUUUCGAAAGGAACGCUAAUACCGCAUACGUCCUACGGGAGAAAGCAGGGGACCUUCGGGCCUUGCGCUAAUAGAUGAGCCUAGGUCGGAUUAGCUAGUUGGUGAGGUAAUGGCUCACCAAGGCGACGAUCCGUAACUGGUCUGAGAGGAUGAGCAGUCACACUGGAACUGAGACACGGUCCAGACUCCUACGGGAGGCAGCAGUGGGGAAUAUUGGACAAUGGGCGAAAGCCUGAUCCAGCCAUGCCGCGUGUGUGAAGAAGGUCUUCGGAUUGUAAAGCACUUUAAGUUGGGAGGAAGGGUUGUAGAUUAAUACUCUGCAAUUUUGACGUUACCGACAGAAUAAGCACCGGCUAACUCUGUGCCAGCAGCCGCGGUAAU